GGCAAAAGCCGUUAUAAGUCUUCACCUAGAAAGACAUUAGAAGUAGCUGCUGUUGAAAUAGAAGGUUGUACUACGUCAUCUAGAAGAAAGAAAUUAGAGAAGCAAAAUGCAAAAGGAGACAUAGAGGAAAGGAAGAUUAGCAUUGAUUCAAACAAUGACAUGCAUGUCGAGCAUAAAGAAUCUGUUUAUCCAAUUUUGAGUCUAUCAUCGGAUUCUGAGUCGUGCCUUGAUCAUAGCCCCAAAAAAGAAAUUCGUAACAAUCAGGUGGAAGCUUCUCAGCAACAAAUACCUCAAUUGAUUAGUGAAGAAGCUAAGGAUAAAAUUAUCCUUGGCAAUGAUGGAAAGUCUCCAUCCAGAAAGGGUUCAAAAGGAAAGUCUUCUCAGAAACCAAUUCAUGUAGAAGAAGAUCAUUCACCAGUGAAAGGGAAGAAAACAAAGGGCAGUGCAAAGGAGAGAGGUAGUGGUGGAGAUCUGGAGGCUGAGGAGGAAGAAACUUGUGAAAAGCUCAUUGAGACAAAUGUCUCCUCUUCAAGGCUGCCUUUGGUGCUUUCUGAGAAAGUUCAACGCACAAAGGCUCUUGUUGAGUGCCAAGGUGACUCCAUAGAUCUCAGUGGUGAUGUGGGAGCUGUAGGCCGGGUUAUAAUUUCAGAUUCUGCAUCCAGAGAUCAGGAAAUGCACUUAGACUUGAAAGGAACUAUAUACAAAACAUCUAUAGUUCCUUGCCGGACAUUUUGUGUGGUUAGCUUUGGACAUUCCGAGGCAAAGAUAGAGGCCAUUAUGAAUGACUUCAUACAGCUGGAGCCACAAUCUAAUGUAUAUGAAGCUGAAACUAUGGUUGAAGGGACACUGGAUGGUUUUGCCUUCGAUUCAGAUGAGGAAGCUGGCAAGAUGCCAAAGGCCACCCAAACUGAUCAAAAUGAGCAUGCUGAGGAAGAAACUCACAGUAAAUCCAAAGGGAAGGGUGACAAGAAAACAAUUUGGAUACAGGGUGCUGAAAAGAAAAGAGGUAGAAGUACUGGAGGAAAACCACAACCUAAGACAGUAAAGAAAAAAGCUCCGAAAAAAGCUCCAAAUUCUAAGAAGGCAAAGAUGAAGAAUUGAAGAAUUGAGUCGAAGAAGUGUUCCAUUGUGUAUGUUGUAAACUUAUACUCAAUCCUUGGGUUAAAAGUACUAGUUGAUGAAAUACUUUGCCCAUGUCAGAGAUAAUAACAUUACAGCAGCAACAAAUCCACCCCAGAAGAAUUGGGAUUCUUUUCUCCCUCUUUUGAGAAGCACUCCUGGAGUUUCUUGUCAUUCCAUAUCAAUAAUGUUCGUGUCUUAGAAACACUGAGAAAGAAGAUCGAGAAUCAAGAGAACGAUAGGCGCUGGUAAGGGCAAGAGAGUAUUUGAUGAGGAAGUAACUUGCUUACGCUUGGGCUUUCUAGGUGGUGGUGUAUGAUUUUGGUUUUUCAUCCUGUGUUGUAAAUUGUAAUGUAAAAUGUUAGUUAGUUAUUGGAUGGGUUUAUCAUGAAAAUGUGGAA